rnacentral:rRNA from 1 species
GACGAACGCUGGCGGCGUGCUUAACACAUGCAAGUCGAACGGAAAGGCCCUGCUUUUGUGGGGUGCUCGAGUGGCGAACGGGUGAGUAACACGUGAGUAACCUGCCCUUGUCUUUGGGAUAACUUCAGGAAACUGGGGCUAAUACCGGAUAGGAGCUCCUGCUGCAUGGUGGGGGUUGGAAAGUUUCGGCGGUUGGGGAUGGACUCGCGGCUUAUCAGCUUGGUGGUGGGGUAGUGGCUUACCAAGGCUUUGACGGGUAGCCGGCCUGAGAGGGUGACCGGCGACAUUGGGACUGAGAGACGGCCCAGACUCCUACGGGAGGCAGCAGUGGGGAAUAUUGCACAGUGGGCGGAAGCCUGAUGCAGCAACGCCGCGUGCGGGAUGACGGCCUUCGGGUUGUAAACCGCUUUCGCCUGUGACGAAGCGUGAGUGACGGUAAUGGGUAAAGAAGCACCGGCUAACUACGUG